CCUACGGGGGGCUGCAGUGGGGAAUAUUGGACAAUGGGGGCAACCCUGAUCCAGCCAUGCCGCGUGUGUGAAGAAGGCCCUCGGGUUGUAAAGCACUUUCAGUGAGGAAGAACGCCUGGUGGUUAAUACCCAUCAGGAAAGACAUCACUCACAGAAGAAGCACCGGCUAACUCCGUGCCAGCAGCCGCGGUAAUACGGAGGGUGCGAGCGUUAAUCGGAAUUACUGGGCGUAAAGCGCGCGUAGGUGGCUUGAUAAGCCGGUUGUGAAAGCCCCGGGCUCAACCUGGGAACGGCAUCCGGAACUGUCAAGCUAGAGUGCAGGAGAGGAAGGUAGAAUUCCCGGUGUAGCGGUGAAAUGCGUAGAGAUCGGGAGGAAUACCAGUGGCGAAGGCGGCCUUCUGGACUGACACUGACACUGAGGUGCGGAAGCGUGGGUAGCAAACAGGAUUAGAUACCCCAGUAGUC
rnacentral:rRNA from 1 species